GGUGUAGCUCAAUGGUAGAGUUCUGGCCUUCCAAGCCAGCUGUGAGGGUUCGAUCCCCUUCAAAGCCG
rnacentral:tRNA from 1 species